AGAACGAACGCUGGCGGCAGGCUUAACACAUGCAAGUCGAGCGCCCCGCAAGGGGAGCGGCAGACGGGUGAGUAACGCGUGGGAACAUACCCUCCGGUUCGGAAUAACUCAGGGAAACUUGAGCUAAUACCGGAUACGGUCGAGAGGCGAAAGAUUUAUCGCCGGAGGAUUGGCCCGCGUCCGAUUAGCUAGUUGGUGUGGUAAUGGCGCACCAAGGCGACGAUCGGUAGCU
rnacentral:rRNA from 1 species